rnacentral:lncRNA from 1 species
UAAUCUCUUUGUAUAUCAAACUAUUUAAUUUUAUUUAAAUCUUUAGGCUUCGUUUGGUUCGGGAUUAAGUAAGAACUAGUUAUUCCGGUAAUAGAAAUAAGUUCAGGUGUAAGCUUGGAAUAGAUCAAUUUUGUGUCUGGAUAAAAAUUGAGUUGUUCCCGAGAAUAAGAAAAAUGGCGUUUGGAUAGAUAAGGUGGAAUAAAAAAAAUAGUGGGUAGCUAUAAAUAGAAAAUAAUAAUAUUGCCCCUUAUAUUUGAAUUUAAAUUUUUAAAUUUUAUAUUUAAAAUUUUAAAUUUAAAUAUAUAACUUUAAAAAAAAAUUUAAAAUAAAAUUUUAAAUUUUAAAUAUCAAAUUCAAAAAUUUAAAGUUCUAAAUUUUAAAUUUAAGAUUAAAUUCAAAUUUAAAAAUAUCAAAAUUUAAAUUUAAAAAAUUAAAAAUAAUAAUUUAUAAUUUAUAAUUUAUAAUUAUAAAAAUUAAUUAAGAUUACAAAUUCUUAAAUUUAAAAAAUUUAAAAUUUAAAAUUUAAAUUUAAA